UAGGGAAUCUUCCACAAUGGGCGCAAGCCUGAUGGAGCAACACCGCGUGAGUGAAGAAGGGUUUCGGCUCGUAAAGCUCUGUUGUUAAAGAAGAACACGUAUGAGAGUAACUGUUCAUACGUGACGGUAUUUAACCAGAAAGUCACGGCUAACUACGUGCCAG
rnacentral:rRNA from 1 species